UACGUAGGGAGCAAGCGUUGUCCGGAAUCAUUGGGCGUAAAGCGUGCGCAGGCGGUUCUCCAAGUCCGUUGUGAAAGCCCCGGGCUCAACCUGGGAAUGGCAGUGGAAACUAGGGGACUGGAAUCUGGCAGAGGGGGGUGGAAUGCCGCGUGUAGCAGUGAAAUGCGUAGAGAUGCGGCGGAACACCGAUGGCGAAGGCAGCCCCCUGGGCUGAGAUUGACGCUCAGGCACGAAAGCGUGGGGAGCAAACAGG
rnacentral:rRNA from 1 species